rnacentral:rRNA from 1 species
CCUACGGGUGGCAGCAGUGGGGAAUAUUGGACAAUGGGCGAAAGCCUGAUCCAGCCAUGUCGCGUGUGUGAAGAAGGCCUUCGGGUUGUAAAGCACUUUCAGUGGGGAAGAAAGCCUUGGGGCUAAUACCCUCGAGGAAGGACAUCACCCACAGAAGAAGCACCGGCUAACUCCGUGCCAGCAGCCGCGGUAAUACGGAGGGUGCGAGCGUUAAUCGGAAUUACUGGGCGUAAAGCGCGCGUAGGCGGUCUGAUAAGCCGGUUGUGAAAGCCCCGGGCUCAACCUGGGAACGGCAUCCGGAACUGUCAGGCUAGAGUGCAGGAGAGGAAGGUAGAAUUCCCGGUGUAGCGGUGAAAUGCGUAGAGAUCGGGAGGAAUACCAGAGGCGAAGGCGGCCUUCUGGACUGACACUGACGCUGAGGUGCGAAAGCGUGGGUAGCAAACAGGAUUAGAUACCCCAGUAGUC